rnacentral:lncRNA from 1 species
GUGGGCUUAGAGAGCAGGUGGAGUUGUGAUGGACAGUUUGCAAAAGUCCUCACUACUGUGCUGCAUGCAGGGAAACGUGUCUGGAAAGAUGCUGAACCUGAGUAAAAUAUUCUAGACAGUGAGACUGGAUGGUUUGAAUGGCAGCUUGUAUCCCUAAGCUCCUAUUUCCUGACAGGUAUUUUAGUUUGAAGAAUGCUUUAAGUCGGUGUGCUCGCCACAUAGUAAGCCCCAUAGGUGGGCUGGUAAUUGCUGCUGAACUGGUACAUCCAAGGGAUUUAAGAUGGACUUGGCUUCACUAAGGCAUCAGUUGUCUCUGUAGCAAGUGCAGGACCUGUGCUUGUCUGGCCUGAGGGCAAUGGGCAUCACUCAGCAGCUGCUGCAUGAGCAGCACUGUAAGGCACAGGGGGUCUUUGUCAAGAGUUAAAGAAGAAAUUAAAGUGAAAACAAGGUUUUAAGCUAUAUAUUUUACACUGCUCAUUUCCAAUCUUCUCCUAGGCUAUGCAUAUGUUGAAAUGUUUUAAAAGUAGUCGAUUUUAUGCCUUUUGCUAUCUAAAGUCUUUGGAUGUGCUCCACUUAUUCUUAGGUUCCCUUUCCAUUUACAUCAUUAGAUGCAUUUCCAUAUGAAAUACAUACAUAAUCAGCUGUCUGAAGGGCAUUUUUAGAUGGGGAAGAACUCCAAAUAUUCAUAUUCUCAUGGUAAGAUUGCAAGCAUUGCCACACUGUGUAUUUUAGUUCACACUGUGUGUUUAUGCAUAUUCUUCCUGUCCCUGCAGAUGUUCCCAGCUUCUCUUUAUAGAUCCCAAACACUGACCCUUCUCUCGAAUACUAAAUUCUCCAUGUCAGUUUAGCUAAUGACUGUUUUGGUUUUUUUUUAGAUAUAAGCUCGAUUCUGCAGACAACGGGAAUGAAUGCAGGUGUCUCAAAUUCUUCAUGCCUCUUUCUGAUAAAUAUUUCACCAGCCUUUCUUUCUCCCUGCUUGCACUCAGGACGCUGGAUGACAUUUGCACUAACAGUGUUUUAUUUUAUCAUGUUGAAGAGCAUUGUAGAUAUUGCCAUAUAGAAUAGGCAGCUCCUUUGGAUUGGUAGCAGUUGCUGUUGACGGCUAGGCAUAAAGCUACUUUCAAAUACUUAUUGUGCUGAUACAACAUGUAAUUAAAGGGAGGAUGGAUGAAACUUGUUUGCUGCUGGAUUCACAGGCGCUUGCCUGGGGCUCAGCGAGGAGGAACUCAGCCAAAGCUGAGGCUCCAGUCCCUAAUUGGAGCAUCGCGUGGGGGAGAUGCGGGAAGCAUUCCUCCUCUUUCAGCAGAGCAGAGCUGGUGUGACGGCAGGCAGGUUGCUGGGGGUGACAAGGGCAUGCUUUUCCCUCCCUGCUGUGGAGCUCUUGAACUGGCAGCGCGUGAUCUGAGUGUAGGUUCACUGCUGUUGGUACUUCCUUUGGGACUGGAUCCUUGCACAGCUUCCACAUCCAUCCUGACAUGUCCUCGCCACAGAAGUGGAUGCACACUGCAAAGGUUGGGUGAGUUUUCAAGUGGACUUGAGCACAGGCUGCCUCCCAGGGAAGCGUGUGUUCAUGCUGGAUCGUGUUGCUUCAGCACUUAAAGCCUUGCUCCUGUUUGCAGUUCAGAGUAAUGUUCUGGGAGAGCAGGCAGGAGCUUGUCCCACCGCACACAUCUGUUGGACAGUGAGCUAGCUCUUUGUGACAAACUCUUUUCUUAUUGGCAGAGGCUUAAGAAACAGAAGAUUGAAAUACAACAUGAUAACUUCUUUUUCCCUGAUCAGAUCCCGAGUCAUACAUCGCAGAGUACAUGGCAGGAUGCAGUUGUUCGCUGAUGCUUCUGGCUUGAGGGAUUUGAUGCUCCAAAUUGAAUUGAGUAUCUCUGGCUCCCACUAAGGGGUGUGGGAGUUGUGUGACUUCAUGAAGAUUUGUGUCCAUGUUUGUCUGUGUGAACUUCAUUCUGAGAGUUGUCUGACUCCCACAUGAAAUGUAGCAAUCUUUCUUCUCCCUGGAAGAGAAUGCUGAAUUCUGCCAAGUGUGUCGGUAAUUGUUUUUAUAACAAUAAAUCUCAGCAUGGUGCAAGUGCUUCAAUCCUUGCUGGAAUCUGUGAUAUUUGUUGGGUGAGGACAGCAGUAGCAGAGGCACAACCCAGCACUGCCUCCCUGUGCUUUGAUGCCUUAAGAGGGAAUGGAAGAUUAUUGAGUGAACGAUAACUUAACAAACAAGUUUGAUGAGAACAAGAGAUGAGCUCAUCUGAGCAUCAUAAUAAUUACUUGCUCCUCCAUGCAACUGUUAAGGCUUGAGCUUGUCACCACGUUUCCAGCUUUGCUUGGCCUGCCUAUUCUCUGUCAUGGAAGUGGUGUGCUGAGAGCGAUGGUCAUGGUGCUGGUAAAGUGUUCGCUAUGUUUGUUUGGGAAAUGUCAGGAAAAUAUUGCUUGCUAUAUGGAAACAGUUGUGCUUCAGUGUCUGUUUCUGAAAGGUUGAUUCUUUCCUUCUAUCCCUUUUUUUCCUAUUGACCGCAUGCCCCGUUUCGGGCAAGGCAUGCAGCUCUUGGGGCAGCUGGUACCAGCCACCUUGGGUGGGGGAAUGAAGGGUGGUAGGCUUCAAGCACAAGCUUGGGAGAGGAAAUGAAGCAAGCUUCGGGGAUUUCAUGUGCAAAAUUUGGUUCGUGUUGAGUGAAAUGAGUAAGUGGGAGGCUGUCAGGCUGCAUCCUUGGAUUAGGAGCUAAACUCUUCUCCAUUGGGCAUCAUCCUGUGGCUUUAACGCUGAAAAAUGGGAGUCGUCCUGAUCUCAUGGGACUUUUUCAUGUUCCAGUAGAGCUUCAUUACCUGAAGAUGGCUCAAAAUUGCAUCUCUGAAUUUGCAUUUCUGUUGUUUCAAGCACAGCCUUGUGUGUCAUUGCUGGAUAAUUCCUUUCAGAUACAGGGAGCCAUUGCGACGUGUUUCUCUCUCUCAGCUGCCUAUUAGCUACUUCUAGCUCUGGGGCUCUUCUGUUCCUGGAUCAGCAGAGAUCACCAAAUGAGUUUGUCAUUAUUUGUUUUCUUCUGCAUGUCUUAAUUAUGGCAUUUAGAGGGGGACUUUUCCCAUCUCUAUCUUGUUUACUAGAUCUUGUUGGAGGUCCUCCCUUUUGGCUUGAAUUUAAUUGCUGAAUUGUAUCUCAGGAACUUCAGCUGGUAUUCAGCCACCCCUCGCUUUAAAAGCUGAGUGGAAGUCCAUUCCUUCUGCUUGACCUCUGUUGCCUUUUUGAUUUCCCUAGCAGAUCUGCUUUUCUGAAGCUGUUUUCCCUAAAAUGGUGUGCUUAAUUCCAUUCGUACCCUCUGAGCAGCCUUUUUCGCUCAAUAGAGUUGAUGCAAUGAAAUGAACUUGGAAGAUUAAUUUGUUAUUCUCUGAUAUUUCCCAAUUCCCCAACCUCCCAUUUUUUUGCACAGAAACCUCCCACUGAGCUCUUUUGGAAGAGCUUUGUUUCUCAGCUUUUCUCUUAAAGGCUGGCUUCUGGGCUACAGCACAAGGAUAAUAGCCUUAAGUGUCCUAUAAUGCUUUUCAUUUGCAGGCUCUCUAAGCCUUAGACCACUGUAUGUUCAUAUCUCUAUGGAAAUACAGCUGUCUGGGAGAUGGAAAGAUUAUUAUCAGCUAGAAGUAGUCAGGAAGAAGGCCUUCCAGAGGACGGUCACAGAAAUGGUUAGAAGACCAGAACACCUCUCCCAGGGAGAAGGGCUGAGACACCUUGGGAGUAUUUAUCUAUAGAACAAGGGGUAAAUGGCUUUAAGAUAGAAUCACAGAAUCACAGAAUGGCUUGGGUUGGAAGGGACCCCAAGGAUCAUGAAGCUCCAACCCCCCCACACAGGCAGGGCCACCAACCUCCACCUCGAAUACCAGCCCAGGCUGCCCAGGGCCCCAUCCAACCUGGCCUUGAACACCUCCAGGGAUGGACGGGGCAUCCACAGCCUCUCUGGGCAGCUGUUCCAGCACCUCACCACUCUUAUAAUAAAGAACUUCCGCCUGAUAUCCAACCUAAAUCUUCCCUCCCUCAACUUGUAACCAUUUUCCCUUGUCCUGCUGUUAUCUACCCUUGCAAAGAGUUGAGUCCCCUUUUGUUCGUAGCCUCCCUAAAAUAAAAGAGGAUUAGUUUGCAUUGGGUAUUAUAAGGAAAUUUUUUACAACGAGGGCAUUGCUCAAGGCCAGGCUGGAUGGGGCCCUGGACAGCCUGGUCAAUGGGAGGUGUUGCUGCCCAUGCACCCACUGCUUUGUAUCACUUACCAGUCUUGUGUGUGUUGAGUUCUUUCUGUGCACUGCAAGCUCACCACAUCAUCAAAUGAAAUAGGCCUUUCCUGUGCCUCUACCCAGCAAGAUGCCUCCAGUCUGGCAGAGCUGGAUUCAUUUAUUCAUUUUAAAUUAUUUUAAACCCAAUAAUGUUGCCUCUCCCCUCCCUAUCCUUUUUUUUUUCCAGAGUAAUAAAGCAAUAAAUUAGAAAAGCUUCUUUUAUGCUUUUAGGAAAUUGCAAUUUUUGUUUAUGUGUCUUCUGAAAUCUACAAGGAGAGAAAGUGAACGUUUCUGUGGAAUGUAAGGGUUUUGAAGAUGCUCCAAAAAUACUCAAAACCAAAUGAAAGGUUGAGUGCUUCAUGGAUCUGUUUUCUCCUGGAAAAUGGUUUUGAUUUUGUGAACGUACUAAAGGCUGAGUAAUCUUGUUUAGAACUUGGUUCUCAGGGCAAGUUGGCUUUGAACCUCUUGAAUCUCCGCGCAUAAUUCAUCCUUCCUGGCAAGUGCUCCCAUCUUGGUGUUCCUUGUAAAAUCAGUAAGUGGAGAGAAAGGAGAAAAGCAAGUGAAAGGAUCUUUGAGUGAAGGGCAGAGAUGCUGCUUUUGCAGGCACUCGGAAGAAAUGAAAUUGGAGCAAUUUUCCUCAUCUCAAGCUGCUGUUCUUUUUCUAUGUAUUGACUUUUAAAAUCUUGCUCAUUCUCCUAUUUCUGCUGGGAGGGGAGCACUUGUACUCCAGCUGAACUCCAGCAGAUGGCUGUUAGGUAAGUGCGUGAUCAUGAGAGAGACCUACAAUUUCGCUCAAGCAUCACAGAUUAAAUAACAUUUCUCUCUAUAAAAAGCACACAUACAUUCUCUUAAUGUUAGGCCUUGUAUAUUUUAUCGUGAAGCAAUCUCAUCUACUGAAACAUGUUACAGAACUGUAACAGAUUAUCUCCUUAGAUUGUGGUGGGUUGUUUUGUAAGCUGAGACUUUCCAUGCCUCUGACUUGUAUGGGCAGCUUUGGUUGGCAUCAAUAACUAUGGUCUCAGCAUUGGUUUGAGGCCGGGAGUAGACAUGUGAGGCUCUUGUGUGCGGGUACCGGCUGUCACCAACAUGAUAAUGCUCUUUUGUCAUGAGGAUUAAAAGUAUACUGCUCCCUUCCCUAAUGAGUUCAUUAUUUAAUUAUCAGGUAAAGGUUAAAUGAGUGAAUUAAAUGUGGUUUAAUCAGCCUGAUGAUUCAGUUUGAUCUGAACGUGGUUUUUAAAUUUUAAACAUUUCAAUUCUCUCAGUCCUUUUUGUUUAGCUGUUAGAGGGAAUGCAGCUGGAUUUAUUUGUGUACCUGUUCCCUUUGUGCUGGAGGAAGCACCUCAGGCUGUGCAAACCAUGCUGCAGGAGCAUGUGGUCCUUCUGGACUUUCUUUCAUCUGCAAGCACUGAAAACUAAUUACAGUGAUGUGUCA